rnacentral:rRNA from 1 species
GCAUGUGGUUUAAUUCGAUGCAACGCGAAGAACCUUACCUGGUCUUGACAUCCACGGAAGUUUUCAGAGAUGAGAAUGUGCCUUCGGGAACCGUGAGACAGGUGCUGCAUGGCUGUCGUCAGCUCGUGUUGUGAAAUGUUGGGUUAAGUCCCGCAACGAGCGCAACCCUUAUCCUUUGUUGCCAGCGGUCCGGCCGGGAACUCAAAGGAGACUGCCAGUGAUAAACUGGAGGAAGGUGGGGAUGACGUCAAGUCAUCAUGGCCCUUACGACCAGGGCUACACACGUGCUACAAUGGCGCAUACAAAGAGAAGCGA